CCUACGGGAGGCAGCAGUGGGGAAUAUUGGGCAAUGGAGGAAACUCUGACCCAGCGACGCCGCGUGCGGGAUGAAGGCCUUCGGGUUGUAAACCGCUUUCAGCAGGGAAGAAGCGAAAGUGACGGUACCUGCAGAAGAAGCACCGGCUAACCUAUGUGCCAGCAGCCGCGGUAAUACAUAGGGUGCAAGCGUUGUCCGGAAUUAUUGGGCGUAAAGAGCUCGUAGGUGGUUACGUCACGUCGGAUGUGAAAAUCUGGGGCUUAACCCCCAGACCUGCAUUCGAUACGGGCGAGCUUGAGUAUGGUAGGGGAGUCUGGAAUUCCUGGUGUAGCGGUGGAAUGCGCAGAUAUCAGGAGGAACACCAAAUGGCGAAGGCAGGACUCUGGGCCAUUACUGACACUGAGGAGCGAAAAGCGUGGGGAGCGAACAGGAUUAGAUACCCUAGGUAGUCCACGCCGUAAACGGUGGGACACUAGUUGUGGGGACCUUCCGACGGGUCUCUAGCGACGCAGCUAACGCAUUAAGUGCCCCGCCUGGGGAUACGAUCGCAAGAUUAAAACUCAAAAUGAAUUGACGG
rnacentral:rRNA from 1 species